rnacentral:rRNA from 1 species
AAUGAACGCUGGCGGCAUGCCUUACACAUGCAAGUCGAACGGUAACAGGUCUUCGGAUGCUGACGAGUGGCGAACGGGUGAGUAAUACAUCGGAACGUGCCCGAUCGUGGGGGAUAACGAGGCGAAAGCUUUGCUAAUACCGCAUACGAUCUACGGAUGAAAGCGGGGGAUCUUCGGACCUCGCGCGGACGGAGCGGCCGAUGGCAGAUUAGGUAGUUGGUGGGAUAAAAGCUUACCAAGCCGACGAUCUGUAGCUGGUCUGAGAGGAUGAUCAGCCACACUGGGACUGAGACACGGCCCAGACUCCUACGGGAGGCAGCAGUGGGGAAUUUUGGACAAUGGGCGAAAGCCUGAUCCAGCCAUGCCGCGUGCAGGAUGAAGGCCUUCGGGUUGUAAACUGCUUUUGUACGGAACGAAAAGCCUCUUUCUAAUAAAGAGGGGUCAUGACGGUACCGUAAGAAUAAGCACCGGCUAACUACGUG